UACAGAGGUCUCAAGCGUUGUUCGGAUUCAUUGGGCGUAAAGGGUGUGUAGGUGGCGCGCUAAGUCGGGGUGUGAAAUUUCGGAGCUUAACUCCGAAACUGCAUUCGAUACUGGCGUGCUUGAGGACUGGAGAGGAGACUGGAAUUCAUGGUGUAGCAGUGAAAUGCGCAGAUAUCGGGAGGAACACCAAUGGCGAAGGCAGCUCGCUGGGACGGUACUGACGCUGAGACGCGAAAGCGUGGGGAGCAAACAGG
rnacentral:rRNA from 1 species